CUCAGGACGAACGCUGGCGGCGUGCCUAAUACAUGCAAGUCGAGCGAGCUUGCCUAGAUGAUUUUAGUGCUUGCACUAAAUGAAACUAGAUACAAGCGAGCGGCGGACGGGUGAGUAACACGUGGGUAACCUGCCCAAGAGACUGGGAUAACACCUGGAAACAGAUGCUAAUACCGGAUAACAACACUAGACGCAUGUCUAGAGUUUGAAAGAUGGUUCUGCUAUCACUCUUGGAUGGACCUGCGGUGCAUUAGCUAGUUGGUAAGGUAACGGCUUACCAAGGCAAUGAUGCAUAGCCGAGUUGAGAGACUGAUCGGCCACAUUGGGACUGAGACACGGCCCAAACUCCUACGGGAGGCAGCAGUAGGGAAUCUUCCACAAUGGACGAAAGUCUGAUGGAGCAACGCCGCGUGAGUGAAGAAGGGUUUCGGCUCGUAAAGCUCUGUUGGUAGUGAAGAAAGAUAGAGGUAGUAACUGGCCUUUAUUUGACGGUAAUUACUUAGAAAGUCACGGCUAACUACGUGCCAGCAGCCGCGGUAAUACGUAGGUGGCAAGCGUUGUCCGGAUUUAUUGGGCGUAAAGCGAGUGCAGGCGGUUCAAUAAGUCUGAUGUGAAAGCCUUCGGC
rnacentral:rRNA from 1 species